rnacentral:rRNA from 1 species
AUUGAACGCUGGCGGCAGGCCUAACACAUGCAAGUCGAACGGUAACAGGAAGCAGCUUGCUGCUUUGCUGACGAGUGGCGGACGGGUGAGUAAUGUCUGGGAAACUGCCCGAUGGAGGGGGAUAACUACUGGAAACGGUAGCUAAUACCGCAUAACGUCGCAAGACCAAAGAGGGGGACCUUAGGGCCUCUUGCCAUCGGAUGUGCCCAGAUGGGAUUAGCUAGUAGGUGGGGUAACGGCUCACCUAGGCGACGAUCCCUAGCUGGUCCGAGAGGAUGACCAGCCACACUGGAACUGAGACACGGUCCAGACUCCUACGGGAGGCAGCAGUGGGGAAUAUUGCACAAUGGGCGCAAGCCUGAUGCAGCCAUGCCGCGUGUAUGAAGAAGGCCUUCGGGUUGUAAAGUACUUUCAGCGGGGAGGAAGGGAGUAAAGUUAAUACCUUUGCUCAUUGACGUUACCCGCAGAAGAAGCACCGGCUAACUCCGUG